AUUGAACGCUGGCGGCAGGCCUAACACAUGCAAGUCGAAUGGUAACAGGAAACGGCUUGCUGUUUCGCUGUCGAGUGGCGGACGGGUGAGUAAUGUCUGGGAAACUGCCUGAUGGAGGGGGAUAACUACUGGAAACGGUAGCUAAUACCGCAUAACGUCGCAAGACCAAAGAGGGGGACCUUCGGGCCUCUUGCCAUCAGAUGUGCCCAGAUGGGAUUAGCUAGUAGGUGGGGUAACGGCUCACCUAGGCGACGAUCCCUAGCUGGUCUGAGAGGAUGACCAGCCACACUGGAACUGAGACACGGUCCAGACUCCUACGGGAGGCAGCAGUGGGGAAUAUUGCACAAUGGGCGCAAGCCUGAUGCAGCCAUGCCGCGUGUAUGAAGAAGGCCUUCGGGUUGUAAAGUACUUUCAGCGGGGAGGAAGGGAGUAAAGUUAAUACCUUUGCUCAUUGACGUUACCCGCAGAAGAAGCACCGGCUAACUCCGUG
rnacentral:rRNA from 1 species